UACGGAGGGAGCUAGCGUUGUUCGGAAUUACUGGGCGUAAAGCGCGCGUAGGCGGCUUUGUAAGUUAGAGGUGAAAGCCCGGAGCUCAACUCCGGAACUGCCUUUAAAACUGCAUCGCUUGAAUCCAGGAGAGGUGAGUGGAACUCCGAGUGUAGAGGUGAAAUUCGUAGAUAUUCGGAAGAACACCAGUGGCGAAGGCGGCUCACUGGACUGGUAUUGACGCUGAGGUGCGAAAGCGUGGGGAGCAAACAGG
rnacentral:rRNA from 1 species